CAGGGUUCGAUUCCCUCAAAAGAGCCUGAGAAACGGCUGUUACAUCCAAGGAAGGCAGCAGGCGCGCAAAUUGCCCAAUCCCGACGCGGGGAGGCAGUGACAAAUAAUAGCAAUGGACGGCCUUUUCAGGUCGUCCAAUUGGAAUGAGGACAUUGUACAACCUUUACCGAGUAACCAUUGGAGGGCAAGUCUGGUGCCAGCAGCCGCGGUAAUUCCAGCUCCAAUAGCGUAUACAAACGUUGCUGCCGUUAAAACGCCCGGAGUCUGAGCUGGGGGCUGGGUUGGCCGGGUCCUCCGAGAGGAGCGACUUGGCGUCCGGUCCUUCCUUCGCGCGGCGCCUGACGGCGCGGCGCGGACGUUUACUUUGAUUUAACUGGAGUGUUCCAAGCAGGCGUUUGCCGAUGAACAACUUAUCAGAGCAUAAUACAAGAGGGCAACUGUCUCAUUGUGUUGGUUUUCGAGACCGUUGUAAUGAUCAACAGGAGCAGUCGUGGGCAUUCGUAUUCGUAAGCGAGGGGUGAUAUCCAUUGAUCUUACGAGGACGAACUAACGCGAAGGCAUCUGUCAAGUAUGCAUCCAUUGAUCCAGGACGAAAGUCGGGGGAGUGAAGACGAUCAGAUACCGUCGUAGUCCCGACCGUAAACGAUGCCGACUGAAGAUUGAGAUGAUCCAUUUGACGCCUUCAGCAUUCUAUGUGAAAACUAAGUCUUUGGGCUCGGGGGGAAGUACGGUCGCAAGGCUUGAACUUAAAGAAAUUGACGGAAGGGCAUCACCGGGCGUGGAGCCUGCGGCUCAAUUCGACCCAACACGAGGAACCUUACCAGGUCAGAACAUUAGUAGGAUUGACAGGUUAAGAGCCCUUUCAAGAUUUAAUGAAUGGUGGUGCAUGGCCGUUCUUAGUUGGUGGAGUGAUUUGUCUGGUUAAUUCCGUUAACGAACGAGACCUUGACCUGCAAACUAGAUUCGCUCAUCCUCGGAUGGGCGCAAUCUUCUUUGAGGGACUAUUUAUGCAUAAUAAGCGGAGGUUCAAGGCAAUAACAGGUCUGUGAUGCCCCUAGAUGUUCUGGGCCGCACGCGCGCUACACUGGCGGAUGCAACGAGUUUCGCUCCUGGGCCGAAGGGCACUGGGUAAUCUUUGGAACGUCCGCCGUGAUUGGGCUUGGUCCUUGCAAUUAUUGACCAUCAACGAGGAAUGCCUUGUAGUCGUUCGUCAUCAGCGAACAACGAAUACGUCCCUGCCCUUUGUACACACCGCCCGUCGCUUCUACCGAUGUGGAUUCAGGCGAGACCCUCGGAUCGCGCCCGGCUGCUUUCGGGCUCCGGAUGCGAAAAGUUGUUCGAACCUCAGUCCGUAGAGGAAGGAGAAGUCGUAACAAGGUC
rnacentral:rRNA from 1 species